rnacentral:lncRNA from 1 species
CCUGCCUUAAGAGGUGUAAAAACUAUUUAUAUUUCAAACACAAUCUUCAGGAUACAGUGCAACAAUGAACGUAUUUGGAUGAUUUUCCUCAAACUGAAUUGUGUUUGUCACCCUUUUUCAAAAAUGUUUACCUGUAUGGAGCACGCAGAGUUGAAAUUAGCGUAACAUAAAGGUUAGAUUCCUGAGUGAUGUCUGUGUUUCCAGGAGCAUGAAAGUGAGGGCCUGAAGUAGCAGCGGAUGUGAGGAAGGACAGUAAAAAGCUCAGAGCUUGAUAUAAAGGCUGAAAGGGACAAGCUGACACUCACAACCGUGGAGCUCUCCUCACCUCAAAGCACACUUCUCCUAAGCAACCGACUCAGACGUUCGCGACACAAUGAGCAUGCGCGGAGCAGUAAGUGGCUGUGUGGUGCUGAUGUGCCUGGUGGCGCUGCUGGUGGAGAAGACGGAUGGACACAUCACGUUCUUCAGCCCAAAGGAGAUGAUGGAGAUGAAGGAGCGAGAAGGAAAAAAAGACAUGGAGCCUCGAUCAGAGGAUGGCCACUUUGAAGAAGUCACUGUUCAGGAGCUGCCUGAGGCCGAGCAUGGUAGAAAUAAUGAGAAAACAGUGGAGAUUGCCAUUCGUUUGACUCCCACACAGCUUGAUCAUGUGACCCCUGUGCUUGAGGAGAUCAUUCACGAAAUAGUAGAGGGGCAUCAAAAAGCCAAAUAACAACUUUGAUGACACUGGAUGAGAAAUGCUGUAUAAAUCUUAAUUGCUCCAAAGUUUUAUUGAUUUGAAAUAAUCUCUGAAUAAAGGGAAGUGAUUGCGCCA